UCACCUGUAGACAUUUUUUUUUAAAACCUGCAAAACACUCAACACUCAAAAAUAAAAGUUAUCAAACCUCACCGUUAAUCACUCAAAAAGAAAAAAAUCAAAUUCUCAAUGAGGUCGAAUUCAAUCUUGUGAGUUCUUUAUCAGAGUUUAUAUCAACCAAUUAGAGAGUGUGAACCAAACUACCAAAGAAUCCUAAUUUGCACUAGGAUGCCAAAAACUGACGAGACACCAAGUGAUUCGUGUUGCACCGAGGAAGGAGUUGUGCACACGUGUAAAUCUUACUAACACAAGAAACAAGAAGGUGUUAGAUAACGUAACAGAAGAAUAAAAAGCAAACAAAUGAAAACCUACAGCUAAGAAUCAAUAAAAAUUGCUAAAACCAGAAAACCCGAAAAACUGCGGAGUAACUUGACAACUUCGUUAGAGGUGUUCCCGAUCUCCAAAAAUCACGAAAUUAAAUCUGGAGUGUCCUUAUAUAUUGAAUUUUUUAUCUGGAAAUUUUGGGCACCAAAUUCAACCCGCUGAAUCUUUUUUAAAAUUUUUAUUGAAUUUCGUAUUUUUUGAUUUUUUUGACUUUUUUGACUGAUUUUUUUGCGGGAAUAAUUUUUUAAUAUUCAAUCACAGUGCCAAAAACAUGUAUGUAAAAUUUCAGAUCAAUCGGACAACGUUUACCCACUCAAAUGAAUUUUUUUUGAACAAUUUUUCUGGGUAAAACUGCUGUUUAUGCUUUAAAAAAUAGAGAUCAGUUUAGAAAUCAACCAAGAACACCCAAAACGCCUAAAAUCUGAUACCAAAUGAUACGGGGUUGCGCGCGGACCAAGAUCGAGUUGCCAAGUCACGAGAAACUCCUACGAAAACCCUAAACAAUUAGAUCUGAAACGAAACAGAAAAUUAAAAGAUUAAAUUUUUGAAUUUUCAGAUCUGAAAUAAAAUCCUCAAAUGAGCAAAGAAUCAAAUUGAGAAUAGAAAUAAGUGUUAAGGUUCUUGAAACCCUCAAGGAGAUUGUGAUUCUGCCCAAUUGAACACCAAGAUAGUUUUCCCCAAAUUUCGACAAUCUAAUUUCACCCAAAAAGAGUAUGGAAAAACCCUAGAAAUUGGGGAUUUUUGGGCUGAUUCCUUAAGAUAGAAAAAGGCUGAAAACACAAUAAGAACAGAAAAUAGAUUAGAUAAUGAUUCAGCACAAGUAGAAAUAAAGAAAGAAUUGACAGUAAGAAAUUAAAAGAUAAGUCCUAAGAAGCCUUGAAAUCUCGAAAGAUCUCACAACUCCCUUCAAACGGCUCUAAUCUCCCCUCCAAAGAAUAUCAAUGGCAAGAAGAAGGUUGAAGAUGGCUCCCACAAUCACAAGAUUGUUAAAACAACUUCUAAAGAAAACUCAAGAGAAAAAUCUUGGAGAAAACUUAAAGAAAAUUCUGCUCUCAACAAAUCUGAAAUUUUAAUAAUAAUGAUAAGUGUUUAACAAGGUGGACAGCCAUGCCUUUAAAUAGGCAUUAUAACUAGUCCUAAUCUAAUUAGAAAACUAAAAUAAAAAAAACUCCUAAUUAUUUUAAUAUGGAAAUUCGGUCAAAGGUCAUUUUAUCUGGGACUCUUGGACUGAAUAUUGACAUAAAAAUUUAAACUAAGUAAAUAAAUAAAUAAAUAAAUAAAAAUAAAACUUUACAACUUGGGCCACUUUGACAAUUUGGCCUGAUUUUCAACUAAGUAUUGAUGGAUUUCUUGAUUGGGCUGGGAAUUUGCUUAUUGGGCCUCGCCUUCAAGAAUUUGGGCUUUUGUGACUCGUAUCAGGAUGGCAAGGCGGUUGAUGGGUAGGGCGGAGGCUCAAGCUUGCGAGAGACAUGGCACUUCGAUUUUGUUUAUUAUUUAGUUUAUUUAGUGUUUUUAGAUUUUCUUCAUGUUAGAAGAACUGCUAAUGGGGUUGCCGAUUUUGAGUCAAUAGGGCUUGGAUUGCGAUAAUGAGGCCUGCUUUGUUAUGAAUUAUCCCCCAAAAGUUUCAUAAUAUUGCAGUGAUGGAUUUUAUUUUUUCUUGAUACAACGAUCAUCGUGCCUCAAUUGAAUGUAACUUGGCUUCGACUAUUGCACUUGCCCAAAUACUACCUUCCUAUUCUUCCAAACUAACCCCUUCAAUUUUGGCUCUUCUCUGACAUUUAAUUUAGGAGAAUUAUAUUGGAGCAUUUAGCAUUAUUCAAAAAAUAAAAAGAACAAUAAGAAGAAGCAUAUAUGCGAGGGAUGAGCAUUUAUAUCACUCUUUCUUAAGUGGAAUAAGGACAUAUGUUCAAUAUGGACAUGUUGUUUACAUUAAUUUAUUUUACUGAAUUUUUGGAGAGUUAAUUGUUUUUGAUCGUGUUUAAAUAUGUAUUAGAUAUUAAAGUAUAAAGAUGCAGGAGAAAAGAAGAAUCAGAACAACACAGGUAUUGAUGCCUCAUCUUCUUGUCCCAUAAGCAUCUUCUUUUGUGUUUUUCACUUAUGCACUCUUCUAACAACUUAAUCAACUUUAUUCCUUCUUUCCAUAUCCAACCCAAUCUCUCGUGCAUUUUGUACCGUUAAAGUUGUAGCAUAAUCAAAGAUCUACAGGAGAAAAAAAAGGCAGACGUGGGGGAUUUGUAGUUUUUGAGUAACACAUUUUACGUUUGGAAAUUUGUGUUCUUAUUUCACUCAGUUUUGUAUUUAAAACCAAUACCAAAACCCUCAAAUAUCUUCUCUCUACCAUAAUGCUCUUACUUGAAGGAUUCAAGGUAUGCUUCGCAUGUUUCUAAUCUCACCACUCUUUGUUCUUCAUUUCUAGGCUUUUUGCUCUUUUAUCUUCCAGCGUUUUUAUAAUUCAGGUUAGAAAAUCCUUACUAUUUAUUUAUCUGAAGUUAAUGUGCGAGUGCUGGAUGUGUACGUGUCCGUCAUAGGUGUGGUCUUUUUUCUAAGCUUGUGUGCCAGACAUGAGUGUUAACUCGGGUAGAAUACUUCAAAAAUUUCAGGAGUGGGAACAACAUAGAUUUAAAGUUAAUAUCCGGUCAAUUUCAACUAAACCUUUCAAGCCUUGAUCCUUAAUUAAUACAACAGAUCAUUUUACCUAUUUUCGAUUUCUUAUUUUACCAUGUUCUCUCUAUGUAUUCUCCUAGGACAUUGUUCCAGGUGUAAGGCAAACAGGGUCCAAGAUGGAUAAACUCAACUCACAGCUAUAUUGGCAUAACUACUGCAUAAUCAAAGAGAAUGAAAGGUUGAGGAAGAAGGCUCAACAGCUGAACCAAGAGAACCAGGCUUUGUUGUCUGAGCUGAGGCAAAAGCUAGCCAAAAAAGGACGUUCCAAUCCAGACCAAGGCUCCUGUCUUUGCUCUACUUCAAACCCCAACUACAAUCAACCGCAUAAACCCUAAAUCAUAAUUGGAGAAACCAAUUGACAUUCAUGGCAUUUAUGUUUAGCUACGGAACCUUUUUUUAUUUUUUUCUGUCUUUCUUCUUUAAGGUAGAAAAAAGAAGGGGAAAUUGUUUAUUUGAAUAAUAAAGUUAUGAGCUACAAGAUAUAGAAGACAAAUAAUUUCAACUUUCUAUUUGCUCCCUUGAACGAUUGCCUUCGCAAAUUAGAAUUUGAGCAUUGACUAUGGCUGUAUUUUUUUUUGUUAAAUAUAUCAUAGGUCCUUGUACUCUUCCCAAAUUUAGAUUUUAGUCCCUAUACUUUUAUAUCCUGAAAUUUAGUCCUUCUACUAUUUAGAUUUCAUAAUUUAAUUCCAAUUGUUAAUACACUUAAAUUUAGAUUUAUUAAAAUAAUCUUAAUAGGGUUAACAGUUGGAUAUGAAUUUUGAAAUCUGAAAAGUAGAAGGAUUAAAUUCUUAAAAAUAAAAGAACAUGGACUAAAUUCCAAAUUUGAGAAUAAUACAAGAACCUAUGACAUAUUUCAAUUUUUUUAAAUAAUUUUUUAGUUAAAAUAUUAAAAAGUUCAUGAAUGUUUUAGUUAAAAUAUUACACAUUCUGAAAGAGUAAAAACUAAAGAUCGGCAUAGAAGUAAGUUAUACAAUUUGAAAAACUUUUUAUGUUUGUGGGCAUUACUCUCUUACAAGAUCUAGUUUAAGUUCAAUUCACUCACUAAAUUACAACAUCACUCCUAUUUAUUAACUAGAUCACUCUAUCCACUAAGACUUUUCCUUUGGAAACUUGGUUACAAAUGAAACAGAAAAAACAAUUUGUUUACAACAAAGUUGUACUAAAAUAAGUUAUCCACAAUGAACAAGAUAAGUGUUCUCAAUCUCAUUUAUAAAAACUUUCAACAAGCCUUUCUUAGAUAGACUUAUGUUAGCUUAUUAAAAUUACAAUCAAUGUGAACUUCAAUCUUUUUAAAUUCAGCUCAAGCAUUUCUAUAACAUCCUUUACCCGGUUUGACAAUCAACGUAGAUAAGUGAUGUCAAAUUGACACUUUCAUAACUCAUACAAUUUUUUUUCUUUUUAAUAAAAAACAUUCAUUUCGCACCUUCGUAAAAAUUAUUUAAACAAUUGGUAAUAUUAUAAAGGUUUAAAUUCACGUUAGAAUCAUUUCAAAUCAUUUAAAAGUCAUAUGGACAUGUCUAAUACAUGAAAUGAGUUUUUGAAUCUCUUUAAGCUUGAAAUGUGAUUUUUCAGUAUAUUGAAGAAAUAAGGUUAGACACAAAAACCAAAUUAUUUUUACACUUCAAUUUUUUUCAAUUAUUUCGAGGUCUUAAAACAUUUUUCAAAUCAUUUCUAAGGUCCUUACACAAAACUAUAACAUUUAGACCACAUUUUGAGGUUGUUUUAGGGCUUAAAAACACAAAUUUUAAGGUGCAAUGGUAGAGGUAUCGGUGCCUCUCCCCUAUGCAUCAGUAUAUGUACCAGAUACUUUAGCAAUUUGGCUAAUGGAGAUGCAUGUAUCAAUACAUGUCCUCCAAGUAUAGAUACUUCAGGUUUAAGAAACCUAAAAUCACUUCAAAGCACUUCUAAAACAUAUCAAAACAAUAUUAUAUCAUACCAGUAAGUUUCAAAACAAUUUUAAAAUAUAAUAUAAUUGUAACACCCAGAAUUGACGGGUCCUACGUUGAGCGAGUAGCCUUAAAGGAAUCUAAGUGGCGUAGUCCUAUCCGCCCAAUUGGCACCUUUAGCGUAUACUUAGGGCGUUUAGUUAAUAAUAGAGUAUAAGGUAAAUACUAUUUUCUGAAAGGUGCAGGUAUGCAAAAAUGAAGGGAAUGAUAAGAGUAUUAUGGGUUCUUUGGAUAACGAAGAUAACACCAAAGGUAAGGUACGCCAAGUUUGCUUAGUUAUUUUGCAAGUUACAUUUUUACAAGAUGGUCAGGAAUGAACAACGAGGUAAAUCAAAGAUACAUAAAGAUUAUAGACUCUUGUAAGCGUAACCUUACAGAUGUUAACCCCUGAGAGGGUAGAAUUAAAUGUUGAUGACACAUGUUAAAUUCCACUAUGGAAGUAAACACCAUUUCUGUCUUGCUUUAGAAAAACAAAAAAGAGAGAAAUUUAUCUUCUUCCUUCUACUUAAAACACCAUUUCUGUCUUGCUUUGAAGUUGAUCAGGGAUAUAACAACUCAUUUUUCAGUGGUGUUGGAAACAGUAGUUUUGAGGCCACAAAUCCAACGAUUGAGUUCGUAAAUAUUAUUAUUUAAUAUUUACAGGUCAAAUAUAGUAUUAUAUUAAAUUUUAAUUAGAUAAUAUUAGUUAUUUGAAUGAAUAGUUAAGUUCAAGUGGUUUGUCCCUAAGGUCAAAUGGUUUUGGAAAAUGAGGUAUCGGGACCUCAUUUCUAUAAACCAAGCCUGUAAAUAUUUUUAUUAAACAUUUAAAGAGUUACUAAAUAGGUUUAUUGAAGUUUGGUUCAAAAAUUUUAACGUUUAGAUUAUUAAUUAAGGAAAAAACUAAUUGUAAUAGUUGAAAAAGUCAAUCGCUAUUAAUUUAAAUGUGUUAAUUUAUUAAAGAAACAUGAUUGGAUGGAUUUAAUAGUGGAAGGGUUUGAGCUUAAAUUAUUUUAAUUUUUAUAUGUUAUUUUUAUUAUUAAAAUAAAAUAAUAAAUUUCAAAUAUGAAACAUGAAAACCAUCUUCUUUAUUUUUCCUUUCUUACAAUGAAACGCCAUUGUUAAAUAGCUUGGAGGUUCGGUCAUUUUCUUCCCUUGCAUGUAAGUUGAAUUUAAAACCAUUUUUCAUGAUUUUUAUAUUUUUGAGAUCGUUGUAUCUUAAUCUAGUUAACCCAGGGACUAAUUCGUAAAACUGUUAAAUGUUUUGAGUUAUGUCAUUGAUGAAUUUGUGAUGUUUUUGAAGUUUGAUGAUAGAUUUAUAAGUCUAAUAGUUAAAUAGGAUUGUUUUGUAAAGUGAUUUUAGUUAGUUUUAAGUUAAAAGAUUGAAUUGAUAAAAUAUUAAAUUUGGCAUGAAAUCUUUGUGAAAUUUUAAUAAAUAUGGUUUGUUUUGGUACAAGGGAAAUUUUGGCUCGCAUGAAAUUGGGGUAAUUUUUUUAGAUUUGAAAGUUUCGGGUUAAGGGACUAAAUUAUAUAAAAGGUAAAAGUUUAGGGUAAAAGUAUAAAAUAUUGAUAAAGGGUCAAAUAUGUGAAUUUAGGUAUUUUAUGAUAUUUGAAUCGAUUAAUUGAAUAAAAUUAAUAAAUUUAGAUCAAGAAAUGGAUCAGUCUAUUUAUAAAUGCAGGAAAGGAAAAGUCGUUGAAUAGUCGUCAUUGAAGUGUUCGUAGCUAUUGCAUUUAGGUAAGUUCGUAUUAGGUUUAUUAUGUUUAUAAUGAUUUGAAUUCAAUUAUAUAUGUGUUUAUGUAUAUAUAUUAUAGUUAACAUGAUUAAUUGAGGUAAGUAAUGAAAUGGAAUUGAAGGAUUGUUUUGUGAAGCAUGGUAAAUGAGUAUGUGUGAAUUGAAUGGUAUAUCAUAUGAAAUGUAUAUGAGCAGGUUAAUCAUGAUUCAAACAAAUAAGACCAUAGUUGAAAGAUGCUAUGACAUCAUAAUUCAAACAAGUAAGACCAUAACUUAAAGACACUAUGGCAUCAUGACGGAAGUGAGUAAGACCAUAGCUAAAAGACGUUAUAGCAUUAUAGUAAAUAGGACUAAGACCAUAGCUAAAAGACGAUAUGACAUCCUUUGAUAGUUAUUUAGCAUGUACUAUGUACCAUUGAUGAAUACCAUACCGAUGGCUUGAGAUCCUAUAUGUGUUGUGGAUUCUCUGAAGCUUGUGUGAACAACAUCGUGUAUCGGUUAAUUUCUUUUUGUCAACUUAUGUGAGUAUUACCCUCCCGUGUAUCCAAAGUCAAUUUACUAUUUUUCUCUAAGUAAAAUAGUUAAUAAUUGAGUUUGUUGUUGGUGACAAGGUGUUUUUAAAAAGUGUCACCCUGGAAGAAAUUUUUGAGAUUUGGCCAAAAAGGGAAGCUGAGUCCUCGUUUUAUUAGACCAUAUGAGAUCACUGAAAGAGUGGGACCAGUUGCAUAUCAAUUAGCAUUACCUGUAGAAUUACAUAAAAUGCAUGACAUUUUCCACAUUUCAAUGCUUAGAAGGUAUCGAUCGGAUCCGUCUCACGUUAUUUCAACUGAAGAAAUUGAAAUUCAAUCUGACUUGUCUAAUGAAGAAGAACCAGUCAAAAUUUUGGCUCGCAAGGUGAAAGAGUUGCGUAAUAAGUAUGUUUCGUUAGUGAAAGUUCUAGGGCGUAGUCAUAAAGUCGAGGAAGCGACUUGGGAGCCAGAAGAGACAAUGAGAUCUCAAUAUCCCCACCUCUUUUUAGGUAAAGUUCGAGGACAAAAUUUAUUUAGGGUGAGAAUUGUAACGACCCGGUAGUCAGGGCUGUCAGAAAAUGAGGUUCGGAACUUCAUUUUCGUAAAACAACCUAGUAGAUAUUUUUAUUAAAUAUAUACGAGGUUAGUUUUGUAGUAAAUUAAAUUUUGGAUAAGUAAUUUGCACAAAAUUAGGAGUUAUUAAGGUAUAAAGACUAAAUCAUGAAAGAGUCAAAAGUUGAAUUAUAGAUUAAAACAAAUAAAAGAGGACUAAAGUAGCAAUUAUACCAUUAAUCAAAUAGUUGGAUGGUAACUGGCCAUGUUAUAUUAAAUAUGCUUAUGUAUAUUAUAUUCAUAUACGUUAUAUAUAUUAAAUUAACUAAUAGUAAUAAAAUAAUAGUGGUAUUAAACAACUAAAAUCAUUUCUUUUAUUUUACAUGCAAAAAAAUUAAAAAAGAAAUGAAAGAAAUAGGAGAAUAAGCUUGGACGGCACCUUAGGGGUUUUUAAGUUUCCAACUUCAAUUGGUUAGUCAAUUUAGUCCCUUUUUCCUGUAAUUUUUAUAGUUUUGGAAUCCCGGUACUUAGAUCUAUUCGACCCGUGUUGCAAUUUUUGAUGUUUUUCAAGUUUGAGAAUGUUGCCCUUAUUAGUUAGCUAUAUCUAUAAGGAUUAAAUUGAUAAAUUUUUAAGUUAGAAGUGGAAAAAGACUAAAUUGUAGAGUUAAUUGUUGAUUUUGAGCUAUAGGGACUUAAUUGAGAAAAUUUUAAAAUUUAGUGGUAGAAUUGAAAAAUAGAGAUUUAAAUUUAGCUUAAAGUGAAAUUAGUACAAAAAUAUAAAGUUAAACAAGGAGGUUAAAAUUAGUCUCGGUGUAGGGACUAAAUUGAAGUUUAAGCAAAUAUAGUGUAAAAAUUGAAAAAUUAAUGUGAAGAUUGAAUUGUGUAAUAUUAAUGUAUCUUUACUGUUUUAUUCCGUAACUAACAUCGUACCAGAAUCCUCGAGUAAAAAGGGGAAGGAUAAAAUCAACAUCAAAUAGCACAGAAUUCACGGUUUGUAAUUCUAUAAUCCGAAUUAAAUAGUAGAUUGUUGCAUAUUUAAUUGUUUGCAUAUGGUAAGCAAUUGAGGUGAGUACUUUGGUACUUUGGGAUUGAAUUGAAUUCAUAGUUGAUUUGAAAUGGAUUGAUUUUGUAUAUAAUGAAAUAUGUUGAUUAUAUGAAUAUUGAAUUGACUAUAUGUGAUAAGGUGUAUAUAUGAAAUUGAGACAUUGGUUGUAUUGAAAAGUGAAAUGAAACCCUAUUAACUAUUUCGAGCUGAGUCGGAUAUAAAUGGCAUGCUAUAAGAUAGGAAGAGUUCAGGGAUUUCUUCGACCUUGAGUUGAUGAGGCACUGGGUGCCAAUUUGCUUUGGUUUAACCGAUGAGACAUUGGGUGUCAACUUAUAUAGCGUUGGGCGUAGUUAUUUACUUCGAAUUUAUCUGAUGAGGCACUGGGUGCUAAGCUGGUGUAUUGGUUGUAUCCGUGUAUCCGUCCGAGUCCGAGCCAUGUUAAUAGGGAAAAUAUACGAUAAAAUUGAUGUGCUUAAUAUUGAAAUGUCAAUGGAUGAGAAUGGAAACAAGAUGUAAAAUGGAUUAUGAAAUGAAAUGUGAGUUUUGAAAUGAAUUCAAGUAUUGAUAAAAAAGAUGAAUCAUGCCAUUGCAUGAGUUGAAUUACCAAAUGCUAUAGAUACGGAAUACCAUUGAUUUGUGUUUGAACAUGUGUAAUCUUGUGGAUGAGAAUAGAGAAUGAGCAAAUUUUUAUUAUUGAUUUAAAACUUAUGUUCAUAACAUUGCUUAUUGCAUUUUUACAUUUAAUUAUUUAUACUAAGUUAAAUCAUUCGGAUUAUAGGAAUACCACGGAGUUUUACUAAGCGUGCGGUUUUGUUUUUCGUGCGCAGGUUAGGUACUUCUCAAUUGAUCGUCGACUCAGCAUCCAACAAUGAAUCCUGGAUUCAAGUGUGGUGAUGUUUUAAGUUGUAAUGACAUGUACCUAGGAAUUCAUGUUGUUGAUAUUUGAUAAUAUUUUGGUUUUAAGUGAAAUGAGGUCAAUUGUAUAUAUGGUGAUGAUUGAAGUUGUGUUUUGGUAUGUUGCAUAGUUUAAUGUGAUGGUAUGUUUUUUAGCUUAAAUCUUGAUAGCCUAAAUAGCUAAAAGUUAGUUAUAUAUUGGUAAAUUUGGUAUGGAUGAAAGUCUUGAAUGGAUAAUGUCUUGUUGAUGUGUUUUGAAGAUAUAAAAUGUGGUACCAAUGAGGGUACAUUGGUUAGGCACUUAAGAUGGUUGCUUUGGUAUGAAUUGAGUAUGUUUAAUUGUGUUUUGAAUAGGUUAAAUGGUUGGUGAAAUGGUUGCUUAGUGCCCAAGUAAUCACAAUUUGGUAAACUUGAGUUUUAAGGUACAUUUAGGUGCACACGGUCGUGUGUCACACACAGGUGUGUGCCCUAAACGUGUAGAAUAAUUGCAUAAGUAUAGUUUCCACACAAGCUGACACACGGCCUGCGACACGGUCGUGUGACCUAAGUUAGGAAGUUACAUGGGCUGGGACACGAUCAUGUGUCCCAACUUCGAAAGUCACACGGUUUGGGGCAUUCCACACGGCCGUGUGUCUCCUGUUUCUAGGCUUUUUGAUAUUUCACCCUAAACUUCUAGAAUUGUUUCAAAUUAGCCCCUAUUAGUUCUUAAAUCAUUUUUAGGGACCUGUAAACUCGUAUUUGGGGUUGUAUGGUUAAUUUUUUACUAUGAUUUAAAUUAAAUAGCCUACAUCUUAAUUAUGAGUUUUUAAUUGAUUGAUAUGUUAGUAAUGUCCGUGACCCUAAUCUGUCGACGGAGAGGGUUUAGGGGUGUUACAAGGUGAAUCCCUAAGCCGACUGUUGCUUGCAUAGUAAUAUUCAAGAUAUUUCUAUAGGAAGUAGUCACACUACGAUUAUGAAGUUAGGAAAGUAUGAUUGGAAGAUAAUGUUGUGGUAUGAACAAUAAACGAGUCUUACAUGUGUAGUUUGUAUGAUAUCUGAUAAGUUGGAUAGGAAGAUAAUGUUGUGAUAGAUGUUCUGAUAAUAAAAUAAGGUUGUAUGAAUGAUUCUAAAAUGUAUAAGAUGAACUAAAAGGAAAUAUGUUAAGUCUUAAAUGGGGUCAAUGCUUGAAGGUUGGUUAAGUGAGUCGAAGUCCGUUCACUGUAUUGGAGUCCCCUAAAAGAGUCCGUCGAGACUUUAAACACGAUUCUCUGAAAGGAAAAGUCCAUGGCACCAUAUCAUGUAAGAUCGUAACUGGUGGGCUAUAGUGUCAUAUGGAGAUACUAUAUUGUAUAAGACCAUAACUGGUCGGUUAUGGCAUCACAAGAAAAGAACUAAAGGAAGGUUAUUACCGAAUGAAGUUUCUGAGUGACCCCGAACGAUGAGGUGCAAACUGUAACAACCCAUUUUUUAGUAGUGUCGAAAAUAGUAGUUUCGGGGCCAUGAAUCUAACGAGUGAGCCUUUAAAUAUUAUUAUUUAAUAUUUACGAGUCAAAUAUAGUAUUAUAUUAAAUAUUGAUUUGAUAAUUUUUGUUAUUUGAAUGAAUAGUUAAGUUUAAGUGGUUGGUCCCUAAAGUCAAGUGAUUUUGGAAAAUGAUGUAUCGAGACCUCGUUUCUAUCAACCGAGCCGUAAAUAUUUUUAUUAAAUAUUUAUGUAGUGAUUAUAUAGGUAUGUUGAAAUUUGGUCCAAAAAUUUAAUGAUUGGGUAGUUAAUUAAGUAAAAAGGACUAAAUCGUAAAAAAUGCAAAAGUUAAUCGCUAUAGGUUUAUUUGCGUUAAAUUGAUUAAACACAUGAAUUAAGGGUUUUAAUUGGUAAAUUUUCCUAGCUAAAAUAUAGUGGACGAUUUUGGAGUAUAGUUAUAAGGAAAUGUGAUUAAUUUUAAAAGGUUAAUUUUGUAAUGGAAUAGUUAAAUAAAAGUUUAAACAAAAGAAAAGGUUAAACCACCAUCAUCUUUCUCGUUUGUUUUUGUCAAAAACUGAAUCACCAUAUUUGAGAAGCAAAAGUUUCAGCCAAUCUUAUUUCAACCUUGCACGGUAUGUGUUUCAAGCUCGUUUUUAGUGAUUUUUAUGUUUUUGUAAUCGUUGUAGCUUAAUCUAGCUAACCCAAGGACUAAUUUGUAAAAAUUUUAAAUGUUUUUAAAGAUGCCAUUAAUGAUUUUGAUAUGUUUUUGAAGUUUAAUGGUAGAUUAUUAAGCUUGGUUGUUAAAUAGGAUUAUUUUGUAUAAUUUUUAAGUUUAGGGAUUUAAUUAAAAAUAAUGUAAAUAUGACAUGUUUUUCUUAUGAAAUUUCAGCAUGUGAGGACUAAUUUGGGGUAGUUUAUAAAUUCGGUUUAAUGGGUAUAAAUUUUAAUUAUGAAAAUAAUCUUGUUUUGGUCAUAUGAACCAAAUUGAUUAAGGUAUAAAAGUUUGGGGCAAUUGUAAAAAAAUGUAAAUAGGAAGACAUAUGCAUUAAGUUGAAUACUACAUGAAGCUGAGGCUAAUAAAUUGAAAUAAACUACUUUAUAGAUCAAGAACCAGUAAACAAUCGAGGAAAAGGGAAAGUUACUGAUUAGUCCUUGAAUUUUUACCAUAUUUACAGUUUAGCCCUGGUAAGUUUGUACAGUCUAAAUUAUAAUAAUUUGUAAUAUUAUAUUGACUUGUGAAUUAUGAUUUGCUGAAUAUUUGUAUAUAUUUAUAUAAUGUUACAAUCGUAAAGAUAAUUCAAGGUAAGAAAUGUAAUUGAUUUGUAAAAUAUUAUAUGAUUACUUGUACCAAACCCCGAUGAACAUAGGAUAGGAUAAAAUUGGCAUGACAAUAGGUUAUAUUGCGCACUGUACGGGAUUGAUUUGUGAUAAAACGAUGAUUCCUGACUUGUAUCUAUCCACUGAAUAUACUGGAGUCCAACAUUUUUUGUGGACUAUCAUGUUAUAUUUACAAUGAUUUUUGCGUGUUAUCGGGGGCAGAUGUAAAGCCUAUGGGCUUGGCUCUUGAUACUCAAGUGUCUUCUUGGUUGGUUUGGCUCGUUUAAGUUUUUUGGAAUGUUUUGGGUGGAUAACCGCAUAUCCGUAUCUGUUAUAUUGUUCAUCGGACAUAUUUUUAAUAGUUAAAUGACUUGUUAUUGAAUUAUACAAAUGUUUGCAUUAUUUUUCAAUAUUAUUUUGACUUGAUAUCGAAUGAUCUUGUAUGAUUAAAUAGAUUGUGCAACUCAUGUAUAUAAUUGAAACUCACUCGUGAAUGGUUGUGGUUGAUAGGAUUAACGUUUAUAAACAAUGUUAUUACAUGAUUUUCUAAGUUAUAUGGUAAGUUUUAUCAUUUCAAUCUGUGAACUUACUAAGCUCUAUUGAAGCUUACUUGUGUUGUUUUUUCUAUUUCCUUGUAGAUAUCAUAGAAUCAGGCGAUUAGAUCAACUCAAAAAUCACACUAUCCAACUAUCUUUCAAUAGAAUUUGAAAAUGUUUUCUUUUGGGAUAUGUGACAUGUAAUAAGAGUAUCUUGUAUAUAUUAUAAGUAUUUACUUCAAGUGGUAUGUUUAUGCUAGUGUGACGGUUAUAUGUUCAAGGUUAUUAUUGUGGUUGUUUAUAGAUUUUUGUGAAAAUCAAAAUUUGGUAAUGAACUUGUCUUGUAAUAGGAGUUAUGUUGUUUAUGAAUUUGUUUUCAAGAUAUGGAAAUGCUUGUUAUUGUUUUGGCUAUUUUGUUGGUGCUUCAUGAAUGUGAAAGGUAUGGAUGAAUUGGUAUGUUUGGCAUGUGAAAUAGGUAGGAACUUGUAGUCUUUGAAUGUGAAUUGGUUGGUUUAUAAAAUGUAGUGCCAAUGAGGGCAUAUUGGUUAGACACUUAAGUUGAAUGUUUUGGUAUGUUUUUGCUUGUUUGGAUGUGUUUUUGAAGGCAUGUUAAUGGUUGAUUUUGGUUUGGCUUAGUACCUAAGAAUUAUAAUUGGUUUGCCUUAUUUUGAAAGCUAUUUUAGGUGCACACGACCUGAGACAUGGGCUAUCACACGACCGUGCGGACUAGUUAAUUUUGGUGUAGGUUUGUCCCACAUGGUCACAGGUUGUUACACGAUUUGAAGACACGACCGUGUGAUCCUAUUUUGAUUUGCAAAUGAGUAGACACACGGUUUGCGACACGGCCAUGUGAACUCUGUUUCCAAAAUUUUUACAUUUUUUUGUUUUGUUUCAAAUUAGUCCCUAAUUGUUUCCAGACUAUUUUUAAGGUCCCAUAAGCUCAAAAUAAGGCUUGUAAUUUGUAUAUAUGCUAUAUUUAAUGAAUGGAUUGAAUAUUGAUAUUUAAAUUAAUAAUUGAAUAGUUUUAUGAUGAUAGUUGAUUCUAUGUGUGCCGUAAUACUUUGUAACCCUAAUCUGACGACGAAGACGAGUUAGAGGUUUUACAUUUAGUGGUAUCAAAGCUACGAUUUAGUCGAUUCUUGGACUGAACGUAGCAUGAUGGAGUCUAGAAAUUACAUGCCACAUAAACCUGUGAUAGUGUGAUGUAAUUUGAUUUGAUCUAACCCCUGUUUUUUUUAUAGAUUUGAAGGAUGUCGGCAAAGUCUGGUCGUGCUGACACUGAUGAAGUAAAUAACAAUGUUUCGACUUCCAAAUAAGAAGUAAGUCGUAGUCUACUGAUUCUGCAAAUGUCUGAAAAUGAAGUAAAAAUGUCUUUUUUGGUUUAAUGGGUUAAUGGUUCACGAAAUUUAUGCGAACCAACUCUGUGGCUUAACGACCUCCACCCUCUCAUCCUCAAAGGCCUAUACUACAAAAUAUUAACAAGAUUUCUAAUGAUAAAGUUUGAAGAUACGAAGCCAAAGAGUUUCGUGGUAAAAGUGAGUGAUGAUCCGAUUAGAGUUGAGUAUUUGUUAGAACAUACAGAGAGUUCUGGAUGAAAGGUUGCUUCCUUCCGAAGAUUGUUUGAGGUAUGCAGUGCCAUUGUACUCUUUUUUGUAUUAACUAUUUAAAAUAUAUAUAAAAAGCUAAGAUUUAGAUUUUUUUUUCUUUUGUGUUUGAGAGUAAAAAUUAUUAAAAUAUCCUUAUUUAUAUUAACUAUUUAAAAGAUAUAUAAAACUAAAUUAAUUUAUAUUUUAUAUAUUAUCAUAUUAGAUUAUUUAAAUAUUAUUUAUUAUAUUUAAUUUUUUUUAAAAAUUUGUAUAUAUUAUUAGUUUUACAAAUAAUUUAUAUUAAGGCUAAUUAUUUUAUCCAACUGCCACUAGAGUAGAAAAACUCCACAAACGAGUCUAGGAAGAUGUCAAGUGUCUUUUUUUAAUUAUUUUAUUAUUAUUAUUUUAAUCCAAUCUAAAAACAAGUGUUAUCAACCAAGAUCUGCUUAUAGAAAUUUUUUACUCCACUGGCAAUGUAUGGAAUAAUAAUUCUUAUUUUAAUUCCUUAAAAGUAUUUAAAAUUUAUAUUUACAUAUAAUUGUAUUAAAUUAUUUAAAGAUCAUAUAACUUAAUUAAUAUUUUACUUUUUACUAUUAUUUAUAAAAAAACAUUUUAACCUUUAUUCGAUAAAAAAAGUUAAAAAUUAACAAUUCAUACUUUUUCAUAAGACUAUCAACCUGUUUGGUUCAAUGUAAUGGUAUAGCAAUUACAACUCAAUUCUAUGGCCCCACCACAAACCCUUGUUUGAUUCAAUGGAACGUGUAUUACAGGCCUUGCUAUUUAGUUUUCUAUUACUGCUCAUCACUGAAUAGAGGAUAAAUAGCAUUCUUUGCCCCACCCUUUAAAUUGCCAUUUAGAGUACGGUAGGAAUGCUGAGAGAUCACUUUUUUUUUUCAUUUUUACCCUCAUUUUUCAUGGUCAUCCUUUCUACAGUUUCAACUACAGCCUUUACGUUCAUUACCUUUUCCAUUUAUAAAGCCCUAAACACCAUUGCCCCUCACCAAUUUUUACAAUCUUUUCCUCGUAGGAAUCGAGAUCGUAGAAAUUUCCCAAUUAAGGGAAAAAUCUUCAGCAAGGAAAAAAAUUCAGACUCAAUUGAAGAACACAUUAGCGUCUGGUUUUGAUUUCAAAGUGAUUCAAGACAAGGUUUCUCUUCAUUUAAGACCCUGGCAUCGUUCAUUUCAAUUCUAGGUUCGAACAGUUGAUAUUUAUACGGGCUAUAAGUUCCCUUCUUUAUCUUCUUAUUUUUUUAUUAUUCUUUUUGUUGUUAAUUGAUAGUUUUACAUUGUUGGGUAAUUGUUGAAAUGAUAGGUGUUUCAACUUUGAGUGAGUUUUGUGAAGGAUCCACAAAAGCAGUAAGUAAUGUGGGAUAAACAACAUGAGUUUGUUUUUUUUUUUUUAGUUUCUUUAUUGUUUAAUUCUUAUUGAUUGAUUUAGAUAUUCUUAGUUCUUUAAACUACGGUCUUUGCUUUUGUGUUUUUUCAGUUCAAUUAAAAUGGGUUUGUUUGUUUUUACUUUUUCUGUACUAUUUGAUUCUUAUUGAUUGCCCAUUUUGUUGAUUUUUUUGUUCUUAGCUCUUUGCAAAUUACAGUCUUUACUUUUGUGUUUUUUCGGUUCAAAUUUAAAUUGGUUUGUCUGUUUUUACUUUUUUUGUACUGUUUGAUUCUUAUUGAUUGCUCCUUUUGUUGAUUUUACUGUUCUUAGCUAUUGGCAAACUGCACAACAUUUUCUUUUUAUGUUCUUUCAAUUCAAUUAAAGACUAAAUUUUACCUGCAUGUUCAAAUUUAUUUAUGUUCCUUUUGAAAUCCUGUUUUACUUAUUGAUAUUUUCCUUUUCACUUUGGUACUAAAUACUUUUAUUGGUAAAUAUACCAUUUGAUGUUGUUCAACUUGUUUUAGAGAAGGAGUUUGGUCGAAGCAUGGGUGAAAUUUUUGAGAAUUUUGAUGUAAAUCCUCUAGGUUCAGCAUCGAUCGCAUAGGUAUUACUUUUUCAUUUCUUUACUUGGAUUGAAGUUUUAUAUGAGCAUGCUGGGAAGGGUAUAGGUUUAUAUGAGCCUGCUGGGAAGGGUGUAAGUUUAUAUGAGCAUAUGUUGGGAAGGGUAUAGGUUUAUGUAUUUAAACAUAUAAAAUCUUUGAAGUUUGAACAUUUUUAUUAAACAAGCUUUAUGCUUCCAACAUACAGUAGGAUAUGGCACAUUUUUUGUUUUAAUGCUACCAUAAUUUUUAAUAGUUUUGCAGUGCUCUCAGGUUCCAGAAAUAGAAUAAUGCUUACAAAAACCGAGUGGAUAUACCUUAACAUAUGUUCGUAUCUGAAUUAGGUUCAUCAAACAAGAUUGAGAGGUGAUAAGAACGAUGUUGUUGUUAAGGUAAGUCCCCUUGAAGAUGAUUUUAAAGCCUCAUACGUCUAUGUGAUUUUGACCAUUCAAAUUUAUGGCAGGUGCAACAUUUAGGAAUCCAGGAUCUUAUGAUGAUUGACAUUCGUAACUUGCAAGCGUUUGUACUGUACAUUCAAAAGACUAAUAUCAAAUUUGAUCUGUUUUCCAUUACUAAGGAAAUGGAAAAAUAGGUAUUUGUAUUCACACUAUUGUUCCUUGCAAAACACAUCUAUCCUUCUUUUAUGUAUUUUCCAGAUUAUAUAAAUUGAGAGUAUCGUACCACUCGGAUUUGGAUUUCUUUGUUCUUCUGCAUGUCGUUAAUUAUUUAUCAUUUGUGUUGUCAAAAUUGGAUAUGAGUUUGACUUUCUAAGAGAAGCCAAUACUAUGGAGAGAAUUCUCUCUUUCUUAUAUGAGAAUAAAAAAGAGACUCUGGUCUUGGUUCCGAGAGUGCUUCGGGGUUUGGUUACAAGGAAAGUUCAUUUUGUUGUAAUUCUUCGUAUUGCUUGUACAUGUUUGUCCUAGUACUAUCCAAGGAUAUGUGGAAUAGAUGUUUGAAAAUGCAUUAUGUAACACCCCAAACCCGGCCAAGACGUUAUGGUCGUAUCUGGUGUGUCACAUUGAAGUGUCUCUACAAAAAUUUGGCUUGUUGACUAACUUGUUUCUUAUUUUUGGAAACCUCUUAUUAAUAUCAAACUGAGCAUUUAUUCAUAUGCCUGCCUUGUUAACUGCUUUUUGUUAUACUAAGUUGAUUUAAAGUGCGGAAGCAUUUUGAAAAUUCUAACGUUUAAAGCUCGUGUCUUUGAAAACAGUAAUUAUUUUAAAAAUUCGUUUUCAAAUAACUAGCAGUAUAAAAAUAUGAAAGUAAAAACCCAAUUAAAAUUUAAAACCAAAUAAAAGGCCUUAUUACAAAAACAAAAACCAACUUAUUAAUUAGAAUAAAAAUAAAAGCUAAAGUGAACAGCAGUGAUCGUGUGGCCACCUCCGAGUCCCUCGCAGCACCGAACCGCCUAUGGCAAAAGAUUACCUGCACAAUUAGAAAAGAGGGUGAGUUUACGAAACUCAGUGUGUAAUUCUCUACCAAACAAUCAGCAUACAACAUGCAGAAUCAGUCUGGGCAUGAUCUCUAUAUAGUAGUAGUGUGUGGGCCAUAGCCAAACAUAGUAACAGAGUGUGAGCCUUAGCCCAAUACAAUAACAGUGCAAAUGCAGUAAUACAACCCAUCCCAAUCUAGCCAACACACCACUCCGUACCACCAACACACCAUGUGGGGAUAAAAUCUACCUACCCAGCCAACACACCAAUACCGCAGCAAAGCUGCCAGUAAUAGUAACACAGCAAAGCUGCUAGUAACAGUAAUGCAGCAGAGCUGCCAGUAUCAGUAACGCAGCAAAGCUACCAGUAACAGUAUUUGUGGCAAAGCCACCAGUACAGUAUACUUCCCCUAUAUCAGAUUCCCAACCCCAUGCAGUAUGUCAUGUCAUAGAUCAUACGUGUAUGCAAUAUGUCAUACUCAGCAACAGUCAUAUAAAUAUCAUAAAGCAAAAUGGUCAGACAUAGCAAAGGCUAUAACAGCAAUUUCAUCUCCUAGGGGUAUAAUGGUCAUUUUACCCUAUAAGGGUAUUUCAGUAAUUUUACCCAUCGAGGGUAUUUCGAUUAUUUUACCCAUCGGGGGUAUUUCGAUAAUUUUACCCAUCAAGGGUAUUUCAAUAAUUUUAUCCAUCGAGGGUAUUUCGAUAAUUUUACCCAUCGAGGGUAUUUCGGUAGUUUUACCCCAUUUCGGCCUAAGCCCAUGAUAAUGCUCAUCGGGGCCUUUAUAGUCUCACAUCGGGUUUCGUGGCCUCAGUUGACCAUUCGAGCAUUCGCACGCCCUAACGGUCUCAGCGCUGUCUUUUUUGGCUUUUCGGCUUUUGCCAAUUUGUAGUUGAAAGAGAGUGUGAUUACACACCUGAUUACAAGAAGAGUGCAACCUCCACGUACCCAACCUAGAUUCAACAUAAUCCAACAUCAGUCCUUUAACCGUUAGGGUGAGACACCCUCUUUUACAAGACACAACCCAAAAAUCACUAUCUUUACCUUAAUUGUAUGAGACCAACCCUACUGUUCCAAACCGCUAACCCAAAAAUGAUCACACACUGCAACGAUAAUCUGCACCACAAAAAUUACUUUCAUAAAGUAAACUAGGCCAUAAUAAUGGCCAGGAGGGGUAUUCAGCUUAAAGAUAAAGAUUGGAAAGGAACCGAUUAAAACGAAAAGUGAGGUGCAUCGCAACUUACCGAUAAUCUGCAAUACUUACAGCACUUGAAUAGUAACAGCGGUGAAAAGAAGAUCAGCGCAGGAAGCGAUCGAACAGAGGAGUACUGAUACGGGGUUGUGCGCGGACCAAGAUCGAGUUGCCAAGUCACGAGAAACUCCUACGAAAACCCUAAACAAUCAGAUCCGAAACGAAACAGAAAAAUUAAAAGAUUAGAACUUUGAAUUUCCAGAUCUGAAAUAAAAUCCCCAAAUCAGCAAAGAAUCAAAUUGAGAAUAGAAAUAUGUGUUAAUAAGGAAUCUUGAAACCCUAGAAGAGAUUGCGAUUUUGCCCAAUUGAACACCCAGAUAGUUUUCCCCAAAUUUCGGCAAUCUAAUUUCUCCCAAAAAGAGUAUGGAUGAAUCGGCAAGAACCCUAGAAAUUGGGGAUUUUCGGGCUAAUUCCUUAAGAUAGAAAAAGGCUGAAAACACAAUAAGAACAGAAAAUAAAUUAGAUAAAGAUUCGGCACAAGCAGAAAUAAAGAAAGAAUUGACAGUAAGAAAUUAAAAGAUAAGUCCUAAGAAGCCUUGAAAUCCCGAAAGAUCUCACAACUCCCUUCAAACGGCUCUAAUCUCCCCUCCAAAGAAUAUCAAUGGCAAGAAGAAGGUUGAAGAUGGCUCCCACAAUCAAAAAAGAUUGUUAAAACAACUUCUAAAGAAAACUCAAGAGAGAAAUCUUGGAGAAAACUCAAAGAAAAUUCUGCUCUCAACAAAUCUGAAAAUUUUAAUAAUAAUGAUAAGUGUUUAACAAGGUGGACAGCCAUGCCUUUAAAUAGGCCUUAUAACUAGUCCUAAUCUAAUUAGAAAACUAAAAUAAAUAAAAACUCCUAAUUAUUUUAAUAUGGAAAUUCGGUCAAAGGUCAUUUUAUCUGGGACUCUUGGACUGAAUAUUGACAUAAAAAUUUAAACUAAGUAAAUAAAUAAAUAAAUAAAUAAAUAAAAAUAAAAAUAAAACUUUACAACUUGGGUCACUUUGACAAUUUGGCCUGAUUUUCAACUAAGUAUGGAUGGAUUUCUUGAUUGGGCUGGGAAUUUGCUUAUUGGGCCUCGCCUUCAAGAAUUUGGGCUUUUGUGACUCGUAUCAUUCCCCCUUCCUCAAAAAGAUUCGUCCUCGAAUCUGAAAAAUCAAAUGAACUCGACUUUCCUCUAUCGAACGGGACUAAUGGCAAUUGAGUCCACUGAAAAGAAUAGCCAUGAGAUAGUAAAUAGCAACGGAAACAAGCUUGUAGUCCAAUCAUAAGCAUAACAGAACAGGUAUAACGCAUGUGAAUGGACAGAUUCAGAUUACCAUGCAAACAAUCUAAUUUACUCACCACUGCCUCGUCAAAUAUUUGAAACAAAGAUGGACAUGUUUUAAGGCAUUCAGUCGUCUCACAUUGUUCCCACAAACCAUGAAUAAAUUGCGAGUAAUAAAUCAAAUGGUAAACAUAAUCGUCACAAGUAGGUAUUUGAAAAGAUUCACAUGGUUCACAGAGUUGCAUAAUCAUACCAUGCAUUAAUCGACGGUCUAUAGAUUCACUCACACAUGCAUUAUCAAAAACAAGAAUCUUUUUAUCAACCAUCAAAACAGAUAGAUCAUCAAUAAAUAAAAUAGGACAGUCAAGCACGUUUCGAUCUAAGUGUUCAUCAACACGAUCUUUAUCACUAUCCGAGGAGUACAAAAGUGUUUCAAAGGUUUCAAGCAUCUUACCUCGAUAAGCAGAAGAAUAAGGGUCGAUUUUACCUUUUUCAUUUAAAACAAACCUUCGCUCAUCGGGGGCAUAGUGUAGUCGAAUCUCCGUUGUUGAGUUAACCUUUGUCAAAUGGAACUCAAACUUCAUGUACGACCACAUAAACUGUUUAAGGCACGAAUAUAAAUUGAAAACAAAUUUGGAAAAUUUCGUUACCUUAUUCUCCAAAACAGAUUUGGACAAAUUCGAGGAUUUUACACAAGGUAAAUCAAGAGAAUAACAAAUCACGCUUCUUUUCGUAAUGACUUUAUCAACCACAAUCGAAGAGUAACAAUUAAUCGGAUCAAAAUGAGGGGAUCUUUUAAGAACUAAGUCACCAAAAGCUUUAUUAAUAAUUUUCAAAUCUGCACUGGACUCGGUUUCUAAAAUUUCCUUACCUCGCUUACCUUCGGGAUCAUGUAGUGUGAUUUCAUCUUUGCCUAAGUUGAUCGUAUGAAAGCGUCUUUCAUUUGAGAGGUAUUGAAGUUGAAAGUUAUCUUUCGAUCUUUCGGGAACCUGAAAAGUAGCAACACAAGAAAAAUUCAUAUCUUGGUUAGUGGAAACAUUCCUCACUACCCUUUCCACGUCUUUUUCUUUUGUUUCUUUUUCUAAUUCAUUUUCUCUUCUUUCUUCAAUUUCUUUUUCACUCUCAAUCUCUUUUUGCUCUUUUUCAUUCUCUUUUUCUUUUUCCUCACUUGUUUUAACAGAAUUUUUCAGUUUGAUUUGGUCCUCAUGGACUUGUUCUGGAGUGAGCGGCACUAAGGUGAGUUUCUUUCCUUGAUGCUUGAAAGAAUACCUAUUGGUACGACCAUCGUGAGUGACUUUUCGAUCCAGUUGCCAUGGUUCUCCUAGCAACAAAUGGCAGGCUUGAAUAGGCAUUACGUCGCACACAACUUCGUCUUGAUACUUACCGAUAGAAAAGGCGAUGCGCACUUGUUGAGUGACCCUAAAUUGGCCUUUGUUGCUAAGCCCUUGUAGUUGAUAAGGUUGUGGAUGCUUGGUAGUGGUUAAGCAAAGCUUUUCCACCAUCGUCGUGCUGGCUAUGUUCGAGCAACUUUCACCAUCAAUAAUAACUCUACAAAGCUUACCUUGUACAUGGCAGCGAGUAUGAAAGAGAUGUUCUCGUUGCUGCUCGCUCUUUGGUUUUGCCAAAGAUGAUUGUCCACGAUCAUGAAAAUCAUCAUCCAUUCUAGUGACACGUCGAGGGCCGCGCCUCUGGGGUUGGUUAUCCCUAUCUUCUUUGAUUGGAUUUCGAUAUUGAGGUUCUUGAUUCAAUUGCACCUCAUUGAUGGUAGCAGUCAAAGCUCGAAGAGCAGCAGCCUGUUCAUCCAACUGUUGUUGGAAUUUUUUAAAUAUGUCACUAUUAUUAUCACCUGUAGACAUUUUUUUAAAACCUGCAAAACACUCAACACUCAAAAAUAAAAGUUAUCAAACCUCACCGUUAAUCACUCAAAAAGAAAAAAUCAAAUUCUCAAUGAGGUCGAAUUCAAUCUUGUGAGUUCUUUAUCAGAGUUUAUAUCAACCAAUUAGAGAGUGUGAACCAAACUACCAAAGAAUCCUAAUUUGCACUAGGAUGUCAAAAACUGACGAGACACCAAUUGAUUCGUGUUGCACCGAGGAAGAAGUUGUGCACACGUUUAAAUCCUACUAACACAAGAACCAAGAAGGUGUUAGAUAACGUAAAGGAAGAAUAAAGGUAAACAAAUGAAAACCUACAGCUAAGAAUCAAUAAAAAUUGCUGAAAACAAAAAACCCGAAAAACUGCGGAGUAACUUGACAACUUCGUUCGAGGUGUUCCCGAUCUCCAAAAAUCACGAAAUUAAAUCUGGAGUGUCCUUAUAUAUUGAAUUUUUGAUCUGGAAAUUUUGGGCACCAAAUUCAACCCGCUGAAUCUUUUUUUU
rnacentral:lncRNA from 1 species